GCUUACGGCCAUACCACCCUGAACACGCCCAUCUCGGAAGCUAAGCAGGGUCGGGCCUGGUUAGUACUUGGAUGGAGACCGCCUGGAAUACCAGGUGCUGUAAGCU
rnacentral:rRNA from 1 species